GCUGGCGGCGUGCCUAAUACAUGCAAGUCGAGCGAACAGACGAGGAGCUUGCUCCUCUGACGUUAGCGGCGGACGGGUGAGUAACACGUGGAUAACCUACCUAUAAGACUGGGAUAACUUCGGGAAACCGGAGCUAAUACCGGAUAAUAUAUUGAACCGCAUGGUUCAAUAGUGAAAGACGGUUUUGCUGUCACUUAUAGAUGGAUCCGCGCCGCAUUAGCUAGUUGGUAAGGUAACGGCUUACCAAGGCAACGAUGCGUAGCCGACCUGAGAGGGUGAUCGGCCACACUGGAACUGAGACACGGUCCAGACUCCUACGGGAGGCAGCAGUAGGGAAUCUUCCGCAAUGGGCGAAAGCCUGACGGAGCAACGCCGCGUGAGUGAUGAAGGUCUUCGGAUCGUAAAACUCUGUUAUUAGGGAAGAACAAAUGUGUAAGUAACUAUGCACGUCUUGACGGUACCUAAUCAGAAAGCCACGGCUAACUACGUGCCAGCAGCCGCGGUAAUACGUAGGUGGCAAGCGUUAUCCGGAAUUAUUGGGCGUAAAGCGCGCGUAGGCGGUUUUUUAAGUCUGAUGUGAAAGCCCACGGCUCAACCGUGGAGGGUCAUUGGAAACUGGAAAACUUGAGUGCAGAAGAGGAAAGUGGAAUUCCAUGUGUAGCGGUGAAAUGCGCAGAGAUAUGGAGGAACACCAGUGGCGAAGGCGACUUUCUGGUCUGUAACUGACGCUGAUGUGCGAAA
rnacentral:rRNA from 1 species